UACGUAGGGUGCGAGCGUUGUCCGGAAUUAUUGGGCGUAAAGAGCUCGUAGGCGGCCUGUUGCGUCCGCUGUGAAAGCCCGGGGCUUAACCCCGGGUCGGCAGUGGAUACGGGCAGGCUAGAGGUAGGUAGGGGAGAAUGGAAUUCCCGGUGUAGCGGUGAAGUGCGCAGAUAUCGGGAGGAACACCGGUGGCGAAGGCGGUUCUCUGGGCAUUACCUGACGCUGAUGCGCGACAGCGUGGGGAGCAAACAGG
rnacentral:rRNA from 1 species